GAUGAACGCUGGCGGCGUGCCUAAUACAUGCAAGUCGAGCGAACGGACGAGACUCUUGCUUCUCUGCUGUUAGCGGCGGACGGGUGAUUAACACGUGGAUAACCUAUCUAUAAGACUAAGAUAACUUCGGGAACCCUGAUCUAACACCGGUUAAUAUUUUGAACCUCAUGGUUCUACAGUGAAAGACGUUCUUGCUGUCACUUAUAGAUGUAUCCGCGUUGCAUUAGCUAGUUGGUAAGGUAACGGCUUACCAAGGCAACGAUGCAUAGCUGACCUGAGAGGGUGAUCAGCCACACUGGAACUGAGACACGGUCCAGACUCCUACGGGAGGCAGCAGUAGGGAAUCUUCCACAAUGGGCGAAAGCCUGACGCAGCAACGCCGCGUGAGUGAUGAAGGUCUUCGGAUCGUAAAACUCUGUUAUUAGGGAAGAACAUAAGUAUAAUUAACUGUGCACAUCUUGACGGUACCUAAUCAAAAAGCCACGGCUAACUACGUG
rnacentral:rRNA from 1 species